GAUGGUAUAGUAUAGUGGUCAGUACAGCUCGUUGUGGCCGAGCAGACUUGGGUUCGAUUCCCAAUACCGUCA